rnacentral:rRNA from 1 species
AUUGAACGCUGGCGGCAGGCCUAACACAUGCAAGUCGAACGGUAACAGGAAACAGCUUGCUGUUUCGCUGACGAGUGGCGGACGGGCGAGUAAUGUCUGGGAAACUGCCUGAUGGAGGGGGAUAACUACUGGAAACGGUAGCUAAUACCGCAUAACGUCGCAAGACCAAAGAGGGGGACCUUCGGGCCUCUUGCCAUCGGAUGUGCCCAGAUGGGAUUAGCUAGUAGGUGGGGUAACGGCUCACCUAGGCGACGAUCCCUAGCUGGUCUGAGAGGAUGACCAGCCACACUGGAACUGAGACACGGUCCAGACUCCUACGGGAGGCAGCAGUGGGGAAUAUUGCACAAUGGGCGCAAGCCUGAUGCAGCCAUGCCGCGUGUAUGAAGAAGGCCUUCGGGUUGUAAAGUACUUUCAGCGGGGAGGAAGGGAGUAAAGUUAAUACCUUUGCUCAUUGACGUUACCCGCAGAAGAAGCACCGGCUAACUCCGUG